AGACGUCUACAUUAGAUACCCCCUGUAGUCCCAGCCGUAAACUAUGCGCGUUAGGUGUAUCGGUGACCACGAGUCACCGAGGUGCCGAAGGGAACCGUGAAACGUGCCGCCUGGGAAGUACGGUCGCAAGGCUGAAACUUAAAGGAAUUGGCGGGGGAGCACCACAACAGGUGGAGCCUGCGGUUUAAUUGGACUCAACGCCGGGAAGCUCACCGGAUAGGACAGCAGAAUGAUUGGCCGGGCUGAAGACCCUGCAUGACUAGCUG
rnacentral:rRNA from 1 species